rnacentral:sRNA from 1 species
AUAUCUCUCCGUACGGGAAGGAUGAGAAGCUUCGACCAAGGUUCGAUUCGAGCGCAGCGAGAAAGCGUUGCCGCAGGCAACGACCCGAAGGGCGAAGCGCGCAGCGCUGAG